GAGUAACACGUGGAUAACCUACCUAUAAGACUGGGAUAACUUCGGGAAACCGGAGCUAAUACCGGAUAAUAUUUUGAACCGCAUGGUUCAAAAGUGAAAGACGGUCUUGCUGUCACUUAUAGAUGGAUCCGCGCUGCAUUAGCUAGUUGGUAAGGUAACGGCUUACCAAGGCAACGAUGCAUAGCCGACCUGAGAGGGUGAUCGGCCACACUGGAACUGAGAC
rnacentral:rRNA from 1 species